rnacentral:lncRNA from 1 species
CUUGGAUCUAUACAUGCAGUUACAGCUAUUGAAAGACUUUGGUAAGCAGAGAGAAGAACAAACAACGAUAACACAUCAACAUCGACAGAGCAAGGACAGAACACAAAUGCGGUAAUGACAGACAGCCAAACUGCCAAGUCUAGAAUACAGUGUAACA